rfam:Fukomys damarensis contig91377, whole genome shotgun sequence.
GUGUUCUCACUCCGGCAGCACACAUACUAAAAUGGAACAGUACAGAGAAGAUUAGCAUGGCCCCUGCACAAGGAUGACAUGCAAAUUCCUGAAGCAUUCCAUAUUUUU